AAUGAACGUUGGCGGCGUGGAUUAGGCAUGCGAGUCGCGCGAGAAUGUAGCAAUACAGGACAGCGGCGAAAGGGAGAGGACAACACGGGAAUCUGCCUUGGGACGAGGAUAGCGUCGGGAAACUGACAGUAAUACUCGAUAAUGUUUGCGGACCAAAGGUGUGACUCCGCCCCAAGAUGAGCCCGUGCCCCAUUAGCUAGUUGGCAGGGUAAUGGCCUACCAAGGCUGUGAUGGGUAGCUGGUGUGAGAGCACGACCAGCCUCACUGGCACUGAGACACUGGCCAGACACCUACGGGUGGCUGCAGUCGAGAAUCUUCGGCAAUGGACGAAAGUCUGACCGAGCGACGCCGCGUGCGGGAUGAAGGCCUUCGGGUUGAAAACCGCUGUCGUAGGGAAUCAAGUGUAUGAGGGUACUCCCUUGAAUUUGAGAGAUCCUAGGAGGAAGGAGAGGCUAAGCUCG
rnacentral:rRNA from 1 species